rnacentral:rRNA from 1 species
AUUGAACGCUGGCGGCAUGCCUUACACAUGCAAGUCGAACGGCAGCACGGGGCAACCUGGUGGCGAGUGGCGAACGGGUGAGUAAUGCAUCGGAACGUGCCAUUGAGUGGGGGGAUAACGUAGCGAAAGUUGCGCUAAUACCGCAUAUUCUGUGAGCAGGAAAGCAGGGGACCGCAAGGCCUUGCGCUCUUUGAGCGGCCGAUGUCAGAUUAGCUAGUUGGUGAGGUAAAGGCUUACCAAGGCGACGAUCUGUAGCGGGUCUGAGAGGAUGAUCCGCCACACUGGAACUGAGACACGGUCCAGACUCCUACGGGAGGCAGCAGUGGGGAAUUUUGGACAAUGGGCGCAAGCCUGAUCCAGCCAUGCCGCGUGAGUGAAGAAGGCCUCGGUGU